UGUACAAUGUCUGCCCCUGCGCUCUGACCCCCAGGUUCUCUCUCUCUCCCUGUCUGUGUGUCUCCUGGAGAGCCAGCUGGGGUCUGCGACAGGACCAGUUCCUCAUGCAAGACAUUGUAUAGGAAGCCUGGAUGUCCGGGAAAGACGUCAUGGGGAGUUUGAGGGCGGCGCUAUCCAUUCUCAUCCGAUCUGCAGUAAGGGGGUAGGAUACUUUCAUAUUACCCGUGGGGUCUCCUUUUCACAUUCCACCUGGUUUUGCGGGGGGCUGUACAAAUUGUUUUAGCGCUAUAAGUGUGUCCAGGAUGUGUUUUUUUCCUCCGGGGCAGGUUUUGGUAGGUAUUUUGACGGCGCCGCUUAAUGCCGCCACUCACGACAACAAGAGCUCCGGUCCCGCCGCGCUGCAGUCGGAAUUGAAAGUUGAGCACACGCGUAGAUAACAAAAUAACCGGUUAAAUGUGUAAAAAAAAA